rnacentral:rRNA from 1 species
GGCGAACGCUGGCGGCGUGCUUAACACAUGCAAGUCGAACGCUGAAGCUUGGUGCUUGCACUGGGUGGAUGAGUGGCGAACGGGUGAGUAAUACGUGAGUAACCUGCCCUUGACUCUGGGAUAAGCCUGGGAAACUGGGUCUAAUACUGGAUACGACAUGUCACCGCAUGGUGGCGUGUGGAAAGGGUUUUACUGGUUUUGGAUGGGCUCACGGCCUAUCAGCUUGUUGGUGGGGUAAUGGCUCACCAAGGCGACGACGGGUAGCCGGCCUGAGAGGGUGACCGGCCACACUGGGACUGAGACACGGCCCAGACUCCUACGGGAGGCAGCAGUGGGGAAUAUUGCACAAUGGGCGAAAGCCUGAUGCAGCGACGCCGCGUGAGGGAUGACGGCCUUCGGGUUGUAAACCUCUUUCAGCACGGAAGAAGCGAAAGUGACGGUACGUGCAGAAGAAGCGCCGGCUAACUACGUG